rnacentral:siRNA from 1 species
UUUCAUAAUUUUAAAGCUCUAAGG